CUGACUUUUCCAAACAGAAGAACUACUUUGUCGUAUCAGCACAGGACCCCAGCAGGCUCACGACUAGCAUCAGUAGCCUGAUGGGCCGUGGGUUUGGACCAGAUGAAAGCCAGUCCAGACCCUCCUCCAUGAACACUACCAGCAGACACAGCUCUGGGGCGCUCUACGGACACGACUCAGAGCCCCAGAGAGGGAUGGAUCGUUACCUUGAUAGCCUGUUUGACCCUGUUCUCUCAGACGGCACAGGGGACAUGGAGCAUCCAUCUGGUCUCUCCAACAGGAUGCAGGGGGGUGGGGGUGUCGGAGGGGGGAGAUGGGACCCACAACCGGGCUCCGGCACCCCUUACUCCACCCAGCCACCCCCUGGAGCGGUGAGGGUUCUGCCGAUGUUGCCGGUGGUCCAGGUGAAUCCAGUGGUCCCGGUGAAUCCAGUGAAUCCAGUGAAUCCAGUGGCUUCUGUAGUAGAUCAACAGCAUGCUGUCAUGGCCCAGCAGCAACAGGCCAUCAUGAACCAACAGG
rnacentral:lncRNA from 1 species